CUAAUCAGGUCCAUUUCUCUUUCUUCCUUCAUUUUUUCUGCAAAUUUAGGGCCAAACGGUUGGUCGGAAAUUGGAAUCCAGCAUUCCGGACAUAGGGAAGAAAAGGAAGAAGAAGAGAGCUAGCGAUGAUUGGAUACGUAACGAAAGUACGUUUGACAUCGUUCUUCGCCGGCGCUGCAACGGCGUCGUUCGCCGGCAUCUACCUUCUUCACCAGGAUUACAAGUCUUGCCACGACUCCAUCGCUCAAGAGGUGAAAGGAUUCCAAACAUCACUUGAUGAUCGCAUAUCUGCUCUGGAAAAACUGAAGGAGAUUGAAUCUGCAAAGCAUUGAGCUGAUUGAAUAGAUGAUUGUAUUUCUGUGCUGCUGCUCUCUUGAGCUUUUUAGGGGUUAGAUAUCUUGGCUGUAGUAAAAAAGCUGAUGCAAUAGUGUGUGAAGAUUUACUUGGCCAAAACUUCAAUGAGUCAAUCCUUACUUCACUGCUUUCCUAAAGUCCACACUUUAUUGGUAUCCUGAGCUUUAACUCUUCUAAAGAUUUACUCUAUUGCUCUGUUGAGAAUUCUUUCCUAAAUUCCGAUGAAUUUUACCAUCCAAUUUUGAUGGUCACUCAAUUUUUUUAUUA